rnacentral:rRNA from 1 species
UAUCAAUAAGCGGAGGAAAAGAACCCAACAGGGAUUGCCCCAGUAACGGCGAGUGAAGCGGCAACAGCUCAAAUUUGAAAUCUGGCCCUCGGGUCCGAGUUGUAAUUUGUAGAGGAUGCUUUUGGCGAGGUGCCUUCCGAGUUCCCUGGAACGGGACGCCAUAGAGGGUGAGAGCCCCGUCUGGUCGGACACCGAGCCUCUGUAAAGCUCCUUCGACGAGUCGAGUAGUUUGGGAAUGCUGCUCAAAAUGGGAGGUAUAUGUCUUCUAAAGCUAAAUAUUGGCCAGAGACCGAUAGCGCACAAGUAGAGUGAUCGAAAGAUGAAAAGCACUUUGAAAAGAGGGUUAAAAAGUACGUGAAAUUGUUGAAAGGGAAGCGCCUAUGACCAGACUUGAGCCCGGUGAAUCAUCCAGCGUUCUCGCUGGUGCACUUUGCCGGGCCCAGGCCAGCAUCAGGUUGGCGCGGGGAAUAAAGGUGACGGGAAUGUGGCUCCCUCGGGAGUGUUAUAGCCCGCUACGUAAUACCCUGCGCCGGACUGAGGUACGCGCAUUGCAAGGAUGCUGGCGUAAUGGUCAUCAGCGACCCGUCUUGAAACACGGACCAAGGAGUCGUCUUCGUAUGCGAGUGUUCGGGUGUCAAACCCCUACGCGUAAUGAAAGUGAACGCAGGUGAGAGCUUCGGCGCAUCAUCGACCGAUCCUGAUGUUCUCGGAUGGAUUUGAGUAAGAGCAUACGGGGCCGGACCCGAAAGAAGGUGAACUAUGCCUGUAUAGGGUGAAGCCAGAGGAAACUCUGGUGGAGGCUCGCAGCGGUUCUGACGUGCGAAUCGAUCGUCAAAUAUGGGCAUGGGGGCGAAAGACUAAUCGAACCUUCUAGUAGCUGGUUUCCG